CUACGGGUGGCAGCAGUGAGGAAUAUUGCACAAUGGGGGGAACCCUGAUGCAGCAACGCCGCGUGGAGGAUGACGCAUUUCGGUGUGUAAACUCCUUUUAUAUGUCAAGAAAAUGACGGUAGCAUAUGAAUAAGCACCGGCUAACUCCGUGCCAGCAGCCGCGGUAAUACGGAGGGUGCAAGCGUUACUCGGAAUCACUGGCGGAAAGGACGCGUAGGCGGGUUGGAAAGUCAGGUGUGAAAUCCUACAGCUUAACUGUAGAACUGCACUUGAAACUUCUAAUCUAGAGUAUGGGAGGGGGAGAUGGAAUUAGUGGUGUAGGGGUAAAAUCCGUAGAUAUCACUAGGAAUACCUAAAGCGAAGGCGAUCUCCUGGAACAUUACUGACGCUAAGGCGUGAAAGCGUGGGGAGCAAACAGGAUUAGAUACCCCUGUAGUC
rnacentral:rRNA from 1 species